UUGCAUGAUGUUGUUUGAAUUGCUUGUCCUAACAGGUGCAUAAGUUGGGAUGGAUUGGACUUCUAUCUUGAGAAAACACCAUGAUUUCAGGGCUGCUUUCGUCGGGUUUGAUGCAGAAAUCGUCGCGAACUUCACAGAAAGACAAAUAGCAUCAGUGGCCACAGAUUGCAACCUGGAUUUAAACAAGGUUCGAGGUGCCGUCAACAAUGCUAACAUAAUCCUCCAGGUCAGAUUGUUGAUUGGACCUGAUUUUAUUUAAAUAAUCUUGAUAAUCCAUUUUA